CUUUCUCGGCCUUUUGGCAUUAAGUGUAGUAUCUGUUUUUAUCAGUUUAAUAUCUUAUACGUAGGCCAUCGGCCGACAUGAUAUUAAAUUAUUUUUUUUUCUGGCUUGCCAUUGGGGUCCUCAAGCGUCGCCCAUGUAUUGCACUACUGCACGGGCCUGGAGCACCCCUA
rnacentral:snRNA from 1 species